CUAAAAUUAGCUUAAGAAAAAGAGCAUUAAAUUUUUAAUUUAGGGGUAUAUAUAUUUAUUUUAGG
rnacentral:tRNA from 1 species